GAUGAAGAACGUAGUGAAAUGCGAUACGUAAUGUGAAUUGCAGAAUUCAGUGAAUCAUCGAGUUUUUGAACGCAUAUUGCGCCCUCUGGUAUUCCGGGGGGCAUGCCUGUUCGAGCGUCAUUAAAUAACCCUCAAGCAUAGCUUGGUGUUGGGCUUUUUUACGUCCUUGACUGGGAUGGGCCUAAAAAUUAGUGGCGAUGGCUUUUUUACUUUCAAGCGUAGUAAAUCUCGUCUUGCUAAAGAGGAAAAAGAUUUUUUUUCUGCCAAAAAUUUUAACAUUUAAAGUUGACCUCGGAUCAGGUAGGAUUACCCGCUGAACUUAAGCAUAUCAUAAGCGGAGGA
rnacentral:misc_RNA from 1 species